rnacentral:rRNA from 1 species
UGAGGAAUAUUGGUCAAUGGGCGAGAGCCUGAACCAGCCAAGUAGCGUGCAGGAUGACGGCCCUAUGGGUUGUAAACUGCUUUUAUAUGGGCAUAAAGUGAGGGACGUGUCCCUUAUUGCAUGUACCAUACGAAUAAGGACCGGCUAAUUCCGUGCCAGCAGCCGCGGUAAUACGGAAGGUCCAGGCGUUAUCCGGAUUUAUUGGGUUUAAAGGGAGCGUAGGCUGUUUGUUAAGCGUGUUGUGAAAUGUAAGAGCUCAACUUUUAGAUUGCAGCGCGAACUGGCAGACUUGAGUGCGCACAACGUAGGCGGAAUUCAUGGUGUAGCGGUGAAAUGCUUAGAUAUCAUGACGAACUCCGAUUGCGAAGGCAGCUUACGGGAGCGCAACUGACGCUAAAGCUCGAAGGUGCGGGUAUCGAACAGG